AGCAGCUGCUGUGUUGUAAACCAGCCUUACUCUGCUCGGAGACAUCGCCAGGACUGGGCAUCCUUGCAUGGUGCAGCCAGCUCCAUAGUCCCCAUCACACAGGCUUCUGCAGCAUUACCAAGGAGAGGUUAAAUCUCAGAGUCAGUGCAACUCCCCUGGUUGAUGACUAUGAAAUUGCACUUUUAGAGCUGCGUAUAGGGCAGGGAAAGACAGACUGACUUACAUGAUGAAGGCUGUGAUUCCGAUGGACCAGAUAUCAGUCUGCGGGAGGGCUCCUUGCUCUGUCAGCAGUUCUGGAGCUGGAAAAGCAAACCAGCGUGAGCCAAUGCCAAGACCAGCACAAAAGCAGGUCUCGCCUACAGUUGUGUCAAAAGGAAUAAUAAUAAAGAAAGCGGCAUUGGAGGAAAAGUGAUUGACACCAGCUCCAGAGUGAAAAGGUAGAAAACUGCUCAUGCUAAUCCAAACAGGAGUGUGUGUAUGUUCGGAGGCUUAAAAGACGGACUAUGGAGUGGUUGAAUCCAGAGAGCUGUGUAUGAGUGACUGCAGUAGAAAUUACUAUCAGACAUAACAUUCAUAAUAAGAGCAGCAAAAACCAUCCCAAGAGAGAUCGAACAGGCCUGGGGAUGUGAUGCACAGUUCAUGGAAUUAAGCAAGAAAACAUCCACUGAUUUCAUCAGGCCAAGCCUUGGACGAGAACGUCAAAGGGAUGAUGCAGCGUCCUGGUUUUGGCUGGGAUAGAGUUAACUUUCUUCACUGUAGCUGGUAUAGUGUGUUUUGGAUUUGGUGUGAGAAUAGUGCUGAUGGCACACUGAUGUUUUAAUUGUUGUUAAGUAGAGGCUGAGUGCCCCUAAGUAGUGCCUCUGCUAGUCAAGGACUGUUCCAGCCUCCCAUGCUCUGCAGGGGGCACAAGAAGCCGGGAGGGGAGGGGGCACAGCCAAGGCUGCUGAUCCCAACAGGCCAAGGGAUAUUCCAUCUCAUAUGGUGUCAUGCCCAGUAUAUAAAGCUGGGGGAAGAAGAAGGAAGGGGGGGACACUCAGAGUGAUGGUGUUUGUCUUCCCAAGUAACAAUUAUGCAUGAUGGAGCCCUGCUUUCCUGGAGCUGGCUGAACACCUGCCUGCCCGUGGGAAGGAGUGAAGGGAUUCCUUGUUUUGCUUUUCUUGUGUGCGUGGCUUUUGCUUUUCCUUUAAAUUAUAUUACUAUUGUUAUUACUGUUACUGUUACUAUCACUGUUUUGCUUUCCCUACUAAACUGUCUUUAUCUCAACCCACGAGUUUUCUCACUUUUACCCUUCUGAUUCUCUUCCCCGUCCCUCCGUGGGGCAGUGAGCGAGCGGCUGCGUGGUGCUUAGUUGCUGGCUGGGGCUGAACCAGGACAGUCCUUUUUGGUGCCAAACAUGGGGCUCAGCAGGUUUGAGAUAACGAUAGAUUUGAUUGGAAUGCGCUAGAUCAAAUUUAUAGCUGUUAUUGCUGUUUGGUUAUUAAUCGGCUGGCUUCUGUGCUUGCCAGGGGGCUUGCUUGCCUCACUGUAUAUUAGUCUAGUGCUCGUUAGUGGCUGCUUUUUGCUUUUGCUGCGUGCUGUCCUGCUGUCCUGCUUAUCGCCUUCCCCCGCCGUGCCUGGGAACAUUCUGAUAACAGCCAUGGCGAUGCGCCUGGGCUGGCAGACGGCCAGGGCAUCGCUGCUGGUUCUGUGCUGAUGUACCGGGCAAGCUGGGACUCCAGUGUGACCCCGAGUCGAAGGGACUGUGACCUGAGGAUGAGUCCAUGUGGAAGCAGGACACCCCAAAGCCUCUGUGGCCAUGGAUAAGCCCAUGCCAGAGCAGGUACAUCCCAAAGUGUCUGUGGCCGUGGUUUUGUCUGGGCUGCAGCAGGAAUACCUCUGGAAGGGUUGUGGCCCGGUGAUAAGUCCACACUGGAGAAGGCAAACCCCGAAGCAUCAGUGGCUGUGUGUGAGGUCACGCUGGGGCACCUCAAAGUGUGUGGCCAUGGAUAAGGCCUCAACAGAGCAGAUAACCCCCUGGAGGGACUGCAGCCAUGGGCAAGGCCAUGUUGGAACAUGUUUACUUCUGAAGGGACUGUGGCUGUGGGUAAGGCCACGCUGGAGGCGUUGUGGCCCAUGGAGAAGGCCACGCUGGAACAGGCGCACCUCGAAGCGACUGUGGCUGUGGACAGGUCUAUGCCACAGCAGGUGUACCCCUGCAGAGUCUGUGGCUCAUAGACAAGGCUCCACUUGGAGCAGAUACUCCCCUGAGGGCCUGCAGUCUGUGGAUAAGUCCAAGCCAGAGCAGGGGCAAGGGGAGGAGUUCAUUGCCAUGUUAAAACCUAUAACCUGGCCCAAAGGGGCCGGGGGCGGAGAUUGUAAUGGUUCUACCUUUCAGGUGUUGUAACCCUUGAUUUGGGUUGCAGUUAUAGAAAUUACUACAGCAGGAACCACCUGAACCAAUGGAGGACAAGCCUUACAAGAAGCAGCGCAAGUGCAGCAGUGACCCGACCUGAGCUGGCUUUGGUGCCCAGUAAUUCCACACAACACACCACCUCUCCUGUCCUGAGUAACCACAAAAAGAGAUGGAGCCCAAAGCCAUGGACUGAAUGAACUCAGUGGAUGUUUUGUGAACAUUUUACAGACAUUUUACCGGGCUGGUCCAUAGACUAAGGGAACAAUACCUGUGUAUUAUGUCAAAGGAUGGGAAGGGGGUGGUGGUGGUUAAUGAGGUUGUAUUGGAUAGCGUGGGACCUAAGCAUGACAUAAAUGGUAUGGAAUAAGGGGUGUAGAAUGUGCUGGUUUUGGCUGGGAUAGAGUUAAUUUUCUUCACUGUAGCUGGUAUAGUGUGUUUUGGAUUUGGUAUGAGAAUAGUGCUGAUGGCACACUGAUGUUUUAAUUGUUGUUAAGUAGCGGCUGAGUGCCCCUAAGUAGUGCCUCUGCUAGUCAAGGACUGUUCCAGCCUCCCAUGCUCUGCAGGGGGCACAAGAAGCCGGGAGGGGAGGGGGCACAGCCAAGGCAGCUGAUCCUAACAGGGCAAAGGGAUAUUCCAUACCAUAUGAUGUCAUGCCCAGUAUAUAAAGCUGGGGGAAGAAGAAGGAGGGGGGGAAACACUCAGAGCGAUGGCAUUUGUCUUCCCAAGUAACAAUUAUGCAUGAUGGAGCCCUGCUUUCUUGGAGCUGGCUGAGCACCUGCCUGCCCGUGGGAAGGGGUGAAUGAAUUCCUUGUUUUGCUUUGCUUGUGCGCACAGCUUUUGCUUUUCCUUUUUAUUAUAUUAUUAUUGUUAUUAUUAUUAUUACUAUUUAGAUGGCUAAAUGAUAGCUGUAUGAAUUUCAUUCCUGACUCUAAACUAGGGGGGUAACAUCAGGUUGUUUCUGAAUAAAAAUAAAAUAUCCAGCUGGUGAA